rnacentral:lncRNA from 1 species
ACCCAGUCUAAAAUGUGACUUGUGUAGCUAUAGGAUGACUCUGUACUCCCUUUUUCUAUACAGGAAAUGUUGAGGUUGUGAGAGAACUGGAGGGAUAUUAGGCCAUCGUAAGAGUACUCUCCCCGCUGAGUCUCUGUCUCUGCUGAGUUUUGCUCUAAGAAUCUUGAAUGCUGACGUUCGUAGCCAGGAGAAGACAUGGUUUAUUUCUCUCUGACCAGGUUAUCCUUCUAAGCCGACAGAAACUGCUGGAAUGGUGUCUGUCCUAGGAGUUCACCUAAAUGAGUUCAUGCCAUUACUUAUCUGGGAAGAAGGUCUUUUCAAAUCAUCUCAUUCCCAGCUUGAGCUCUGAGAACUUCCAAGAAGAGUAAGAAGAAAACCUAAGUAUGAAAAUGUGUCUAGAAAAUGAAGUGAACAGAGGCAAGAAAACAACAUAGCCAGUAAUUACAGCAGCAUAAAUGGAAAGACCAACCACAAAAUAAUCGGCAAUGAAUGUUGUAAAAUUGCAAAGAACAUAACUUCAAAGAAGAGAUAUAAGAAGAUACGUCUUCCUUCACUCCUUUGAUGAGGUGAUGGGGUGGGGAAGUGGAAAGAGUCCAUGGGGUGAUUGUGAAAAAUUGCAU